UACAGAGGUCCCAAGCGUUGUUCGGAUUUACUGGGCGUAAAGGGUGCGUAGGUGGCGGGGUAAGUCGGAUGUGAAAUCUCCAGGCUCAACCUGGAAAUGGCAUUGGAAACUACCUUGCUGGAGAGUUGGAGGGGGGACUGGAAUACUUGGUGUAGCAGUGAAAUGCGUAGAUAUCAAGUGGAACACCAGUGGCGAAGGCGAGUCCCUGGACAACUGCUGACGCUGAGGCACGAAAGCUAGGGGAGCAAACAGG
rnacentral:rRNA from 1 species